rnacentral:rRNA from 1 species
GGAAUACCGGUGGCGAAGGCGGCCCCCUGGACAGAUACUGACACUCAGAUGCGAAAGCGUGGGGAGCAAACAGGAUUAGAUACCCUGGUAGUCCACGCCGUAAACGAUGUCUACUUGGAGGUUGUGGCCUUGAGCCGUGGCUUUCGGAGCUAACGCGUUAAGUAGACCGCCUGGGGAGUACGGUCGCAAGAUUAAAACUCAAAUGAAUUGACGGGGGCCCGCACAAGCGGUGGAGCAUGUGGUUUAAUUCGAUGCAACGCGAAGAACCUUACCUACUCUUGACAUCCAGAGAACUUUCCAGAGAUGGAUUGGUGCCUUCGGGAACUCUGAGACAGGUGCUGCAUGGCUGUCGUCAGCUCGUGUUGUGAAAUGUUGGGUUAAGUCCCGCAACGAGCGCAACCCUUAUCCUUGUUUGCCAGCGAGUAAUGUCGGGAACUCCAGGGAGACUGCCGGUGAUAAACCGGAGGAAGGUGGGGACGACGUCAAGUCAUCAUGGCCCUUACGAGUAGGGCUACACACGUGCUACAAUGGCGCAUACAGAGGGCGGCCAACUUGCGAAAGUGAGCGAAUCCCAAAAAGUGCGUCGUAGUCCGGAUUGGAGUCUGCAACUCGACUCCAUGAAGUCGGAAUCGCUAGUAAUCGUGGAUCAGAAUGCCACGGUGAAUACGUUCCCGGGCCUUGUACACACCGCCCGUCACACCAUGGGAGUGGGCUGCAAAAGAAGUAGGUAGUUUAACCUUCGGGGGGACGCUUACCACUUUGUGGUUCAUGACUGGGGUGAAGUCGUAACAAGGUAGCGCUAGGGGAACCUGGCGCUGGAUCACCUCCUUAAACGAUGAU